GACGAACGCUGGCGGCGUGCCUAAUACAUGCAAGUAGGACGCAGUUGCGAACGGGUGAGUAACGCGUAGGUAACUACCUAUUAGAGGGGGAUAACUAUUGGAAACGAUAGCUAAUACCGCAUACUAGUAGAUGGACCUGCGUUGUAUUGGCUAGUAGGUAGGGUAAUGGCCUACCUAGGCAACGAAGCAUAGCCGAACUUGGGUGGUGAUCGGCCAAACUGGGAACGAGAACCGGCCCAGAACCCUACGGGGGGCAGCAGUAGGGAAUCUUCGGCAAUGGGGGGAACCCUGACCGAGCAACGCCGCGGGAGUGAAGAAGGUUUUCGGAUCGUAAAGCUCUGUUGUUAAGGAAGCGGUACUUAACCAGAAAGGGACGGCUAACUACGUGCCAGCAGCCGCGGUAAUAC
rnacentral:rRNA from 1 species